CGUGCCCUUUUGUGCUCUCCCCGGAUAUACGUGUACAUUUUUGGCUAUUCCCACAUGUAUGCUUUUCUUCUCUUUCAAUGUAUGUAUGUAUUCCUUAGCAAAGCAGACACAAGAAAAAGCAUCAGAGAAGCGAUCCAUCACAAGACCAGUUCGAAAUCAGGUUUAUUGUAUUUUCCUCUGUUCAAAGCUUCAGAUCUUCUGUAAAAAGAUACUUGGGGUUUUCGCUUGAUUAGCCUUUUCUUCAGUAAAGGACUAAUGACUUCUGACCAAAAGAACAAACAUGUCUGCUCAGCAAAGUCAGAAGCUGAGAUGAAACUUAGGCGACAUGAA